rnacentral:rRNA from 1 species
UACGGAGGGUGCAAGCGUUAUCCGGAUUCACUGGGUUUAAAGGGCGCGCAGGCGGGCCGGUAAGUCAGUGGUGAAAUCUUCGAGCUUAACUCGGAAACUGCCGUUGAUACUAUCUGUCUUGAAUACCGUGGAGAUGAGCGGAAUAUGGCAUGUAGCGGUGAAAUGCUUAGAUAUGACAUAGAACACCAAUUGCGAAGGCAGCUCGUUACACGAAUAUUGACGCUGAGGCUCGAAAGCGUGGGGAUCAAACAGG